CUUUUUAGGUUCUCCUGGCGCGUCUUCAGCCACAGGUGUCUCCUCCCUCGCCUGUUGGUGAUGCGCCCGCCUCGCCUCGCUUGCAGUUUUGCGCAGCGAGGCUUCUU
rnacentral:sRNA from 1 species